CAAUAGCGUAUAUUAAAGUUGUUGCAGUUAAAAAGCUCGUAGUUGGAUUUGUGGCGUACGGUGUGUUCCGGGCACUUGUUGUCUGAGUAACCUGCUGUUGCCAUCCUUGGGUGGAACCUGUGUGGCAUUAGGUUGUCGUGCAGGGGAUGCCCAUCAUUUACUGUGAAAAAAUUAGAGUGUUCAAAGCAGGCUUAUGCCGUUGAAUAUAUUAGCAUGGAAUAAUGAGAUAGGACUUUUCUGCUAUUUUGUUGGUUUGCGCAAAGAGGUAAUGAUUAAUAGGGACAGUUGGGGGUAUUCGUAUUCCAUUGUCAGAGGUGAAAUUCUUGGAUUUUUGGAAGACGAACUACUGCGAAAGCAUUUACCAAGGAUGUUUUCAUUAA
rnacentral:rRNA from 1 species